GAUGAACGCUAGCUACAGGCUUAACACAUGCAAGUCGAGGGGAAACGAUAGAGAAAGCUUGCUUUUUCUAGGCGUCGACCGGCGCACGGGUGAGUAACGCGUAUCCAACCUGCCCAUCACUUGGGGAUAACCUUGCGAAAGUAAGACUAAUACCCAAUGAUAUCUCUAGAAGACAUCUGAAGGAGAGUAAAGAUUUAUCGGUGAUGGAUGGGGAUGCGUCUGAUUAGCUUGUUGGCGGGGUAACGGCCCACCAAGGCGACGAUCAGUAGGGGUGCUGAGAGGAAGGUCCCCCACAUUGGAACUGAGACACAGUCCAAACUCCUACGGGAGGCAGCAGUGAGGAAUAUUGGUCAAUGGACGAGAGUCUGAACCAGCCAAGUAGCGUGCAGGAUAACGGCCCUAUGGGUUGUAAACUGCUUUUAUAAGGGAAUAAAGUGGGAGUCGUGACUCCUUUUGCAUGUACCUUAUGAAUAAGGACCGGCUAAUUCCGUGCCAGCAGCCGCCGUAA
rnacentral:rRNA from 1 species